CACAUGUAGAACAUCUGUCCAGGUGUUUCCUCACAUGAAGAACACAUGUCCAGGUGUUUCCUCACAUGUAGAACAUCUGUCCAGGUGUUUCCUCACAUGAAGAACACAUGUCCAGGUGCUUCCUCACAUGAAGAACACCUGUUCAGGUGUUUCCUCCCCUCUGAAGAGGAAACACACUUCAAACUAUUACAACACUUGAAUUUAUGAGUCACCUGCUCCUCCAAGUCCAACAGGUCAAAAACAACAAGUCACUAAACACAGAGCUGGACCCAAGUCCUGAACCAGUCCUGAACCAGUCCUGAACCAGAUGUCUUGAAGGUUUUCAGAGUUUUUCUUGCAGUUUCAGUAUUCAGGUUCCUAACCCCAGAAGAUGACCCAGAAAAACCAAACCUGGUCCUGGUUCUGUUGGGUCCACAGUUUGAUUUCAGCUGAAUCUAGACUCUGAGGAAACAGGACCAGUUUAAGACCUGAACGAUCUUUCAGGUCCUGGUUUUUAGGUCUGGACUUUCAGGUUCGGGUUCUCUGCUGGAAAGACUUCUCUCAGACCUGAAACGGGUUCUUGUUCAGGUCCAUCAGUUCUAAGACCAGGUCACCAUCUGCUGCCACACAGAGGUCCAGAGAACUGGAACCAGAACCUCGUUAAUGGACUACAGGAAGGUCUGGAUCACUGGAGGUCCUCCAUGUAGGACUGAGGACCGGAUCAGGACUAUUGCACAGUUCUGAGGUGUUCACAUGGUCUCCAUCAACAGAAGGCACAGCUCUGAGACCAGAGUCCAAUCUACACUACAGCACAGGUAGUGUGUGUGUGUGUGUGUGUGUGUGUGUGUGUGUGUGUGUGUGUGUGUGUGUGUGUGUGUGUGUGUGUG